rnacentral:rRNA from 1 species
ACCUUCCGUACACUCAGGGAUAGCCUUUCGAAAGAAAGAUUAAUACCCGAUGGUAUGAUGAGAUUGCAUGAUAGCAUCAUUAAAGAUUUAUCGGUGUACGAUGGGGAUGCGUUCCAUUAGGUAGUAGGCGGGGUAACGGCCCACCUAGCCGACGAUGGAUAGGGGUUCUGAGAGGAAGGUCCCCCACAUUGGAACUGAGACACGGUCCAAACUCCUACGGGAGGCAGCAGUGAGGAAUAUUGGUCAAUGGACGAGAGUCUGAACCAGCCAAGUAGCGUGAAGGAUGAAGGUCCUACGGAUUGUAAACUUCUUUUAUAAGGGAAUAAAACCUCCCACGUGUGGGAGCUUGUAUGUACCUUAUGAAUAAGCAUCGGCUAACUCCGUGCCAGCAGCCGCGGUAAUACGGAGGAUGCGAGCGUUAUCCGGAUUUAUUGGGUUUAAAGGGAGCGCAGACGGGUCGUUAAGUCAGCUGUGAAAGUUUGGGGCUCAACCUUAAAAUUGCAGUUGAUACUGGCGUCCCUGAGUGCGGUUGAGGUGUGCGGAAUUCGUGGUGUAGCGGUGAAAUGCUUAGAUAUCACGAAGAACUCCGAUUGCGAAGGCAGCACACUAAGCCGUAACUGACGUUCAUGCUCGAAAGUGUGGGUAUCAAACAGGAUUAGAUACCCUGGUAGUCCACACGGUAAACGAUGGAUACUCGCUGUUGGCGAUAUACAGUCAGCGGCUUAGCGAAAGCGUUAAGUAUCCCACCUGGGGAGUACGCCGGCAACGGUGAAA